GGCGUCUACGGACAAUGGCAGCUCUUCGGCUUAGAAAUGGAGAUGAGCACCAACCCCCAAAGUCGGGCACAACUAGACUUCAUGUCAGUGGAAAUCCUUUAUCUUUACCUACCACACAAUUAAACAUGAAACAACACUUUCAAACCAGGAAUAGAUUUUUUCCAAAUUUUAUUACAUACUGUUAGCAACAGAAUGGCUCUGCUGCUGACUUUUUCAUACCAGGGCAGACUUUUAGCUAGAGUACCUCUUGGAUAUUGUGACUUCUUCCUCUUUCCUUUGACACCCCACCCCCAGCAACUGUCUCCUACCCAUCCUUUCGCUAGAACAGAUGGCCUGAAGCCGCCACCAUCGGUUCUCAAGCUAUUUUCCAGCAGUAGGGUACAAAUGAAUUUGCUGCUGCUCCAGUCCCAUGCUGUUUCCUCUAUGGCAACUCAGCAAGGAAAAGGACAACAUUCAAGGGAGUGGGAGAUAUACUUCUCCCUAAAGGGGUUUUCUGAUGACAUCACUUUUAUCCUUUUAUCAAAAGUUUUCUCUUUACUCGAUUGAGAGGGAGUAAGAAGAUGGGGCCUAAAGUAUUGCUGUGUGUAUGUGCAGGGCGUUAUGUGGGUUUUUUUGUCACACAAACCCCCAGAGUUUUCUAGGUGCUAAUUUGCAUGACAUACUUUUUUUUGAGAAAUUGCAAGUCACUUCUGGUGUGAGAGAAUUAGCCAUCUGCAAGGACGUUGCCCAGGGGGCGCCCAGAUGUUUUGAUGUUUCACCAUCCUUGUGGAAGGCUUCUCUCAUGUCUCCACAUGGAGAUCUGAAGCUGACAGACGGGAGCUCACUGCACUCCCCAGACUCAAACUGCCGACUUUUCAGCCAGCAGUCCUGCUGGCAUAAGGGUUUAAUCCACUGUGCCACCGGGGGGCAAUGGGUUAACACAUAUAACACAUAAUUAUAAUGUUAUGCUUCCCUAAUAACUGGCAAUGGGGUAUGCAUUAUAGGGAGGACCCAUUUGGAUCCUCUGCUAAGGAACUCCUUAGCGCCUCUAACCAAACUACAACCCCACUCCAGGUUUCUAUAAGAUGCAUUUGUGGCUGUUAAAGUGGAAUUAGAGUGCUACAGUUCUGUAGCAUGGAAAUCUGUAUAUAGAUUUCCUUUGAGCGCAUACUGUUUUGCCAUCGUAGACAGCUGUCUUUGCUCAGGACUGAUUUAAGACAUGCCAGAUCCUCAACUUGAAGAGGCCCUAUAGCAUUACUUCUUCCCUUCCAAAAUCUGUGCCACUCUAACAGAUGGAUGAUUGACUAACUGAUUGUGUUUAGAGGCCUUUUCAUAAUCCAAGGCUAUAAACUGGAGUUGAUUUAGCUUGUGCCCAACUCCAACAGCUCCAGUGCUUUGGUUGGACUGGUGUGAUCGAGGUGACCUCCCCUCCAGGACUUUGUAAAAGAUAGUUCAAAAAUCAAGACUUUAUGUUCUAUAUUCCAUAUAUUUAUAGUAGAAGGUGAUUGGGACUUUUUACUGGAGUUUACUGUGGAUUAUCCCUGCACUCUGAGGCAAGAGAUAACAACUUCAUGGAUUGUGAAAUCAUGUUGCUUGAACCCCACUUCUAUGUUGAAUUCCCCAGAUGUUGUGAACUUCGUUCUGAUCAAAUGUUUCCUAUUACUUAUAUCGAUUGUUUAUAUCAUUCAUGAUUCCCCUUUAUGCAAUGUCACCCACCUUUAUGGAUUCUCCUUUAUUUUCUUGAAAUGUACCUAUCUGCCUAUAUGUAUUUAUACUCUUUGGGAUCCCCGGAAAAUAUGUGUUUUUCCUAGCUGGGUUUAUAUUCCAACUUUAUUUUUAAUUUUCAUUUUAUCCCAUAUAAUUGGCAGAUCAUGAAAUCAAAUGGGAAAUAUUAUGACCCCAACCUGAACUCUAGCCCCAUGACUCAGACCUCCCUUCCCAAAAACAAAAGGAUAAUCUGCCACAGUUUAAUCCCCUCUCAUUCCGACCGCAUGGACAAUAUAGGGCGAGUCACCAAACUCCUAAAGGUGACUCGCCCCCAAGGCAAACAUUGUCACAUCUCAGGCCAGGACGCCGCAGGAAGGCACCCUGUGGGGCCGUCAAUGAUGGCUCAUCACCACCCACUUCCCGUCUGACACCCCAAAGACAUAUCUAAAAUCUGUGAACGUGACAGGACCCCGGACAUCCUUGAUGGGUGUCAUUAAUUCCUUUAGAAAUCGGCUGGGCCAGAAUUAAUCAGAUAUUUCCUGUCCGGUCACCUCUUUGUCUCAAUAGCUCCCGCCUCCUCCUCUCUGAUUGGCCCGAAUAGGGACAAUAAGCGGCUCCCCAUUGGGCCAGCAGAGCAAGGCGGGAAACGAAAGCCCGCCUCAUUCAACCUCUCAGCCUAUCCGCGAUCAGAUGGGCAGGGAAGCGGGGCGGGAAAUUCAAAGGGCUGUCAGACCAAAACAUUGUAUAAAUAUGGCUUUAUUUGAAACAUAUGUUACGCUAGUAGAUUGAAUGAUCACUAUUAGCGUCCUUUUCAGCUGAAUUGCUCAAUAAAACUCCUUGGCGGAUUUUCCUUCAACGUGGCGGACCUUCUUCAUUUCAGGCUUCAGGUUGUAUUGCGGCUUAUAUUCUUCUUUUGGCUUCGCCAAGGUCCGUUCCCUCAGGACCGGAUCGGCUUCCUUCUAAAGGGGCCCGAUCCCCCAAACGCGGUCGACAACAUAAUUUGGCUUUACCACGAAGGGACUUGCUUGGAAGUUCCAAAGAUCAAUUUUUUUAGGCUAAAAUUCCAAGCGGCGACCUUGGUCCAGAUAUUCUGGGACAGGUUGGGGAGAGAAACGGCUGCAAGGAGGGCCCUCCGACCAACAAUUUGACCUCAUUUCACAUCCAAAUUUCUCUGGCAGUCCCUUUCUCUCUCUAGAUCUGAUUCAGGGUACUGAACAAAGGAGCCAGAUAGGAGGAAGCAGAUUUUUAGCUCCUCGAAGGAAAGGCGCCAACGUGAAACAGGGGACGCCCUGUAAAAAUAAAAGGGAACCGGCCCCGUUGUUGAGACCCAGGUGGGAGGAGUCCUGGAGGUAUUGCACUUCGGAUCAGGGCUCGGUAACAAAUUCCUGGUGAAACGCGGGAAAAUCUGGCACCCGGGGGGCGUGUGAGAACAGUCUGGCUUGUAAGAUUACAGGUUCAAGAAUCGCGGGGUAGGGGAACAGUUGUGUUCCCGGGGCACCUGCGGAUUCCACGAACGCCAGCCAUCCAGUCUUGGUGAAGGGAACUCUCGGUAGGACGAGCUGACCUGGCCGGUUGGGUGAGUCGUUACUCCGUUAACUGUCAGGUACUGGGCAGGGGUUGAGCCAAGAAUGGGUGUUUGUUCAAGCACGUCUAGGGUGUCCCACCCCAGCAGACAUCCCCAGGGAUUCUCCUUUGGGCAAGAUCCUGGCCAAUUGGGGUGGGCUUUGCAUCAAAAAACAUGGUGCAGGCCAGGUUGGGCUAACUCAGAGCACGUAAGUGGCCCCUUGUGGCCCUUGAAGGGGGAACAGCUUGCCCCCCGUUUGAGUCACCGAAUUCGGAGUGUUGACCUAAGGUGACUCACCAUGGGGAGGGCAAGUGGUCCCAACUUGCUUAUGCUGCAAUGUUCAUGGCCCUAAGCCAGGGAGAGAAUCGGAGGGGGGGAGGGGGGCCCACGUCUUCCCAUGCAGAGAUUUGGGCUCCAAAAACAGCCCCCCAAAGAUUCCCCCCUAGACCCUUUUCCCCUUACCCCCUCCUCCAGAGGAUUUUCUGGACACAUUUGCUUGCCUUCUCCCCACCCCAUCAGCCCCCUCCUCCAAUCCCCAUCCCCACCUUUUCUCCUCACCCUGAGUCCUACACUGAUCCAGGACUCCCAAAUUGGCCUUCCAAGGGAACCCUUACUUCAGGGAUCCCCCCCCCCCAAGAAAUUCCCCUCCAGAGAGUUCAGCCCAGUCUAACGUGAAGGAGGGCUCCCAGCCCCCUCCCCUCUCACCCCGAAACACACCUGAUCCAAAACACUGUUCACAUUGAUUAAAUUUUGUGUGUUUAUGUAAUGUGUGGGCUGUAAACUCUUCUCUACUCACCCCUUUGCCUUAAAAGCCACCAGUGAUAUAUAGUUUUCUGGGAAGGAGGGCUGGAAUGGACUAGCUUAGUGCUAUGCUCCUUUUUCAAAGCUCCCCCCCCCUUCCUUCCCAGCAUCCCCAUUUCUCCUUAUAAACAUUCAGUCAAAAUCCUGGUUUACUUUUAUAGUGAAGGCACUCUUUCACUCUCCACAGUUCCCCAACAAUCUCCUUUCUUCCUUUCGGGUCCUUCUCCCUCCCUUUCCCUGAGUGCAUGCGUGUGAAUGUUUUAAAAAAAUCCCUCUAACUGCCUUUAAUUAUGAGGAGGGCAUUAGAGUCCAGGGGACCUUCCAGGCACAGCUGAAGAGAUCCAGAGGACCGGACCCAACCACCUGACUGAGGACAUCAGACCAGACUGCAAGACCCAUAAUCCAUACCUGCCACCAUGAACAGUUCUAAGACCUGGGUAGGGGCUCUCGGAGUGCGCUGUGGAUUUCAUGCAGCAGCUAGAACCCAGAGGCCAUUGGAGAUGGUCCUGUGAGGGCUUUUAUGGCCAGACCACCGUAUGGUGCCCUCCAGCUGGCCUGGUUCUGCCCUGGCAAAGGGCUACUGAGUGCAGGUCUGCCUUUGACGCUGCCAAGGAGGCCCUCAUGACAUCACCAGGGGACAGAAUUGGCCGCCAUGGCAGAAGAUGUCCCAGAAGAAAUGAACAGGAUUCUACCAGUGACCACCAUGAGGGAAGGAUGUUCCACUUUCACCAGAGCUGUGCCAAAGAAGGACCCCAGGACUGCUGGAGCCCUCACAAGGUAUGAGUGACUUCCCUGACUAACCCCACCACGGGAGGGAGGGGGGGCUUAUAAUCUGUCCUUAGUUUCCCUAGGCACUCUCUCCUUUCCGUCUCCUCUGUUGGAGUGCUGGACCUGCCUGCAGUCACCAGGAGGCGCCGUGCUGUGAGGCGCAGAAGCUGUGCCCAGUUGCCCCCAGCUGCCAACUACAAAGGGGGGCCCAAGCUGCAGCCAAGAAAAGGCAGCCAAAUGGGAGUACUGCAUCACAGCCUCCAUCAUCCCCAGCCCUCACCACCUCCACCUUCAUGCUCCAUUUCCCAUGACUCCAGACCAAGGGACAUCUGUUUCAACACCAUGGGAUCACCCACCACUGACUGAACCUCAGCUUUCACCUCUUCAAGCUCCUGCCCUCCAACAAAAAGGCACAAUCUGAUCUACCAAGGCAGAGGCCCUGCAUGCAGUGAAAUGUCGGGGCUUUGGGAAAUGUUCAUAGCCAUUUCCAAGCCCCGAAGGGGGGAAAAUGUGAUCGAGGUGACCUCCCCUCCAGGACUUUGUAAAAGAUAGUUCAAAAAUCAAGACUUUAUGUUCUAUAUUCCAUAUAUUUAUAGUAGAAGGUGAUUGGGACUUUUUACUGGAGUUUACUGUGGAUUAUCCCUGCACUCUGAGGCAAGAGAUAACAACUUCAUGGAUUGUGAAAUCAUGUUGCUUGAACCCCACUUCUAUGUUGAAUUCCCCAGAUGUUGUGAACUUCGUUCUGAUCAAAUGUUUCCUAUUACUUAUAUCGAUUGUUUAUAUCAUUCAUGAUUCCCCUUUAUGCAAUGUCACCCACCUUUAUGGAUUCUCCUUUAUUUUCUUGAAAUGUACCUAUCUGCCUAUAUGUAUUUAUACUCUUUGGGAUCCCCGGAAAAUAUGUGUUUUUCCUAGCUGGGUUUAUAUUCCAACUUUAUUUUUAAUUUUCAUUUUAUCCCAUAUAAUUGGCAGAUCAUGAAAUCAAAUGGGAAAUAUUAUGACCCCAACCUGAACUCUAGCCCCAUGACUCAGACCUCCCUUCCCAAAAACAAAAGGAUAAUCUGCCACAGUUUAAUCCCCUCUCAUUCCGACCGCAUGGACAAUAUAGGGCGAGUCACCAAACUCCUAAAGGUGACUCGCCCCCAAGGCAAACAUUGUCACAUCUCAGGCCAGGACGCCGCAGGAAGGCACCCUGUGGGGCCGUCAAUGAUGGCUCAUCACCACCCACUUCCCGUCUGACACCCCAAAGACAUAUCUAAAAUCUGUGAACGUGACAGGACCCCGGACAUCCUUGAUGGGUGUCAUUAAUUCCUUUAGAAAUCGGCUGGGCCAGAAUUAAUCAGAUAUUUCCUGUCCGGUCACCUCUUUGUCUCAAUAGCUCCCGCCUCCUCCUCUCUGAUUGGCCCGAAUAGGGACAAUAAGCGGCUCCCCAUUGGGCCAGCAGAGCAAGGCGGGAAACGAAAGCCCGCCUCAUUCAACCUCUCAGCCUAUCCGCGAUCAGAUGGGCAGGGAAGCGGGGCGGGAAAUUCAAAGGGCUGUCAGACCAAAACAUUGUAUAAAUAUGGCUUUAUUUGAAACAUAUGUUACGCUAGUAGAUUGAAUGAUCACUAUUAGCGUCCUUUUCAGCUGAAUUGCUCAAUAAAACUCCUUGGCGGAUUUUCCUUCAA